GGAUGAACGCUAGCUACAGGCUUAACACAUGCAAGUCGAGGGGCAGCAUGAUUGAAGCUUGCUUCAAUUGAUGGCGACCGGCGCACGGGUGAGUAACACGUAUCCAACCUGCCGAUAACUCGGGGAUAGCCUUUCGAAAGAAAGAUUAAUACCCGAUAGUAUAGUAUUUCCGCAUGGUUUCACUAUUAAAGAAUUUCGGUUAUCGAUGGGGAUGCGUUCCAUUAGAUAGUUGGCGGGGUAACGGCCCACCAAGUCAACGAUGGAUAGGGGUUCUGAGAGGAAGGUCCCCCACAUUGGAACUGAGACACGGUCCAAACUCCUACGGGAGGCAGCAGUGAGGAAUAUUGGUCAAUGGACGAGAGUCUGAACCAGCCAAGUAGCGUGAAGGAUGACUGCCCUAUGGGUUGUAAACUUCUUUUAUACGGGAAUAAAGUGGAGUAUGCAUACUCCUUUGUAUGUACCGUAUGAAUAAGGAUCGGCUAACUCCGUGCCGGCAGCCGCGGUAAUACGGAGGAUCCGAGCGUUAUCCGGAUUUAUUGGGUUUAAAGGGAGCGUAGGCGGGUGCUUAAGUCAGUUGUGAAAGUUUGCGGCUCAACCGUAAAAUUGCAGUUGAUACUGGGCGCCUUGAGUGCAGCAUAGGUAGGCGGAAUUCGUGGUGUAGCGGUGAAAUGCUUAGAUAUCACGAAGAACUCCGAUUGCGAAGGCAGCUUACUGGACUGUAACUGACGCUGAUGCUCGAAAGUGUGGGUAUCAA
rnacentral:rRNA from 1 species